ensembl:lncRNA Ccl22 C-C motif chemokine ligand 22
GACCUUCUGUCCUCUGGCCAAUAGACACCUGACUGGGAUACACACACAUCAUGGCCAGCCUGCGAGUCCCACUCCUGGUGGCUCUCGUCCUUCUUGCUGUGGCACUUCAGACCUCCGAUGCAGGUCCCUAUGGUGCCAAUGUGGAAGACAGUAUCUGCUGCCAGGACUACAUCCGUCACCCUCUGCCACCACGUUUCGUGAAGGAGUUCUACUGGACCUCAAAGUCCUGCCGCAAGCCUGGCGUCGUUUUGAUAACCAUCAAGAACCGAGAUAUCUGUGCUGACCCCAGGAUGCUCUGGGUGAAGAAGAUACUCCACAAGUUGGCCUAGGGAGAAGGGCCUGAUGACCACGGGUCUGGUGUCUCCACAAGGCUCAGCAAACCCUAUCCUUCUGCCAUCCAGCAAGAGCCUUGCCAACAACUCCACCUUUGCUCACCUCCAUCCCCUGGGUUGUCACUCUGUGAAGCCUCAGGUCCCUGUACUUCCUGUCCGUCCCCUCCAGCUCAUUCUCUUCCAACGUGGCAGCCGGGAAGCACUUCUGGCUAGCCUUACCCAAUACCUACUCCCCACUGCUUUAGAUGAGACCAGGGUCCUUGUUUUGGUGCCUUUGGAUCCUAUGAUGCCUUGGCCCCCUUCUCUUCUUACAUGUAGGGAACACCAAUAUCUUUCAAGUAUGUGCUACCCAGUUCCUCUUCCUCGGAGGCUGCUGGGACCCGGAAUAUUAUCCCUGCUGCAGGCCCUCUCCAGCACCACUCACCUCCCAGGCUUCCAUCCGUCCCAGUCCCAAGCCCCAUGCUUCAGACUUCCUUGGCCCCCACCUACACUCAGAAUUCUGGGAGUCUCAGACUGGUCCACUAGGCCCCAAGGGAGGAGGUCCCCACAAGAGCUCCUCCUGUUUCUCGGUCUCCAGCACAGGAGUGGGCUCAGAAUCAGAUUUCUGAAAGGAGCUGCAAAUUCUACCAGUAAAAUUAAUCUUCCCCCAUCCCUGAUGUAGGCAAAAGGCAGUCUCCUCUCAACACGGAGACUCAGGUUGUUAGAAAGGGGCUAUGUAGGUCAACUGUGACCUAAAUUCACCAAGAAUCAACUUCCAUCCAUCCCUCUUCAACCGAAUGUUAGGUCUUUUACUUUUUCUACUUCUGACUCCAUGCCUGUGUAGUUGAUAAUCAAAGUCAUGCUAUGGUGACAGUGAUCGCCAUAGCUUGGUAUUAUAAGCUAUAGUUAUAUUUAUAUAGGAAAGAGGAUAAAUAUAUGUGAGGCCAAAUAGACGAACUGGAGAGUCUUAGGACCUGGGGGCAGGAAGGACCAUACAAAGCCCUUCAGAAAGCAGCUGGUUGUGGGAGCUACAGGCACAGUGGCAUAGUUAAAUUAAAGAACUUAGUUGAAAUUAUUCUUGAGUGGCUGGGGCCAAGUCAGGAAUUUAAAACUCACUCUUGCUUCCCUGGAGACAACAGUGCCCCAGGGUGGGGAAAUAAAUCUGCUUGCUCCUCUGGAGGGAACAGUGGCCUGGCUUAGCUGAGUGACUGGAUUGCGUGAGCCUGAGGACAUUGCUUUUCCCCUCGGAGCCUCAGCUGACAGAAUAUGGGACCACAAAGGGUUUUCCCCAACCCACAGGGACUGACAGUGCCAGCCACAGCUGUGUCCAGGGCUUAUGUCCUUCCAGAAGGAGCACCCGAUGACCAGGGCCACCAUUAGUGCUACUCUGCCCACUGCCAUGCAUGUCCUGAGGGUCACCUCCUCUCCUACUUCUGGGAAAAUAAAUGCUCGUCAAUAGUGC